rnacentral:snRNA from 1 species
GGAUGAGAGGGCGAUCUGGCUGCGACAUCUGUCACCCCAUUGAUCGCCAGGGUUGAUUCGGCUGAUCUGGCUGGCUCGGCAGUUGUCCCCUUCCUCCCUCACCACUCCAGGUGCGUCCCUCCCGAAGCUGCAUGCUAGGUCAAAGAGGACGGCCUUCGCCAAAUAAUCGAGACGGACUGGUCUUCAGUCGAGGGUAUACGAGUAGCUGCGCUCCCCUGCUAGAACCUGCUGUAUUAGCUUUCAGUACUGUUUGGAGAUUUCUUUUCCUAAUUUUCAUUUUUAUCUACAUUCUAAGUAUCUGU